UAUGGUGCAGGCACCUAUUUAUAAAAAAAAAUUCAACGAAGUGACAGUUGGGAAGGAAUCCAUUUGCUUGGAAUUUCCAAUUGAACUUGUGGCUAGGAAUUAAAAAAACAAUGCAAAAUGCUGGAAUUUCUAACUGGAAAUCGUUUCUAGGCUUUCCCAGUCCCAAUCACAGGAAUUUACGACUACUUAGAUUCUAUUUCGAGGUGGGUACUUUUCCAAGGAGCCAAAUGACCCCUUACGAUCUUUGAUUUUCUUGUUAUUUAUUUAUUUAUUUAUUUAUUUUUAUGAAGAAGGGAAGUAGGUGGCAAUUUAUGAUAUUGAUUUCUAAUGGGCUUAUGUAAUUUUAUUAUUAUUAUAUAGUUUUGGUCUCUUCUUGUACCCAUGAAGUUUCUGACCAUAAAGGAUUGAUUUCUGUUGGACUUGUUGAUUGAAAGGAAAGCAGAGGUCUUGUUCUGUUGUUCAUGCAAAUUUAUGCAAAAAUUUCUCUUCUAGUUUUGCUCUUCAACCUCUUCUUGAACUCGUAAAGCUACUGGUAAGAAUCAACAUCAUAAAUUGCUACCUACUGGGAAUGGUGGGCGAAUGACAAAUGGUUUAAAAUAAAUGAGCAAUUGCCAAACUUUAAAGUCAACCUCUUGGAUGAUUAGAUCCUACAUCCAGUUUACAGGUGGGAUCCUCAGAUGAACUGUCAAGAUGACCAUGUGCAUGUGCUGCAUGUAUGUUCUUGAUAGCCGUACACACAAUCUGUGGGCCCAAAAAAUCAUAUAAUUCCACCCUUUUGAAAAGGGUUUGUUUCCUAUCUGCAUGGAUAGAAAACAUUCAUUGUGGAAUGUGUGAUGAUGUAGACUGUCCAUCUAGUGGCCUACAAAUGUACAGGAGAUGACCCAAGGUUUUCACUGAUUGCACAAUCCUAACCAUCCAAAGACCCUACUGGUGCUCUGAAAAUUGAUGACUAAAACAAAAGAGGACUGAUUCAAUUUUAUUAGUAAAACUCCAUUAUUAGAUCUUGUAUCUUGGAUUGUUGAUCCUUUCUAAUAUAUUAGUUUGGAAGAUCCUAACCACCUCUCUUAGGAAAAUUUUAAGGUGAAUGUGGAUUGUGGCUGUAUUUCUCUUCUUAACCUGUCUAUUUCCAGGUCAGAGAUUAAAAUGAUUGUGGGAUCCUUGCAAUGAAGUAUGUUAUUCUUAGAACGUCCAAGAAAUUUUGGAGGUGAAAUCUGAAUAUUUUGAUCAAAUAAAGAAGUUUGGAAUUUCAGUUUUUGAUUACUGGUAUUGAGAACUUGAAUGAGUAAUUGAAAAUUAUACCAUAUUACUAGUAAAAUCCAUUUACUAGCAUGCCUUACAACAAUUCGAAAUCAGGUAACAAUAGCAGGAUUAAAUGGUCUGGAAUUGCAUUAGAUGGAAUUAACACCUUUAUUGCACAAUGAUUACAUGUCUAGAAAUACCAUGGUAUUUCCAUCGUCCAAUGCCAUGUUUAAAAAUAGAUUUAAAAUCUUACAGAUUUGAAGGAAAAAAAUACUUGGAAGUUGAGGUUCUUUGAGAUGAUUUGAUUUUUAAGGCCUGUAUGGUUGAUGGGGAGUUCAUUCCUUGGUCUUUAUGUUUUCUGGGCGAUGUUAGAGUUGGCAUAGUAUUUCAUUGGGAAUGGUUAGAUUUUAUGUCUGAUAAUGGGUUUCCUAUGAAAACUUGGAAGUGUAUGUUGAUAUGCAGAGCUGACUGGUUGUAGAAUUGCUACUGAAAUGGAAAGAAUUCACUGUUAAAACAGGGGACAAUAGGAAAGCAACAAAAACUGCGAUCCUCGCCCGCACGACAGCAUUUAUAGGGGUGGCCAUCUUGGGUUCAAGCUUAUACUACUGUAAAUGGGGCAAGAAGAGACCACAACGAGGUUAACUCCAUUCUACAAGUAAGUAUGCUACUCGCUGAAGUUUGAAUUAGGUUCCUUUCUCUAAUUUUUUUUCCUUGAUUUUUGAGAGUAUACUGAAUGAGUAACUUCUUCCAAGCAUAGCAAAGCAGCUGGAAACAUCUGAACCCCUGUUCUCCAUCUGAUAUUUAUCUUCUUUAUAAAGUAACUACCGUUUUGAUUA